rnacentral:rRNA from 1 species
GACGAACGCUGGCGGCGUGCUUAACACAUGCAAGUCGAACGGAAAGGCCCUGCUUUUGCGGGGUGCUCGAGUGGCGAACGGGUGAGUAACACGUGAGUAACCUGCCCUUAACUUUGGGAUAACUUCAGGAAACUGGGGCUAAUACCGGAUAGGAGCUCCUGCUGCAUGGUGGGGGUUGGAAAGUUUCGGCGGUUGGGGAUGGACUCGCGGCUUAUCAGCUUGUUGGUGGGGUAGUGGCUUACCAAGGCUUUGACGGGUAGCCGGCCUGAGAGGGUGACCGGCCACAUUGGGACUGAGAUACGGCCCAGACUCCUACGGGAGGCAGCAGUGGGGAAUAUUGCACAAUGGGCGGAAGCCUGAUGCAGCAACGCCGCGUGCGGGAUGACGGCCUUCGGGUUGUAAACCGCUUUCGCCUGUGACGAAGCGUGAGUGACGGUAAUGGGUAAAGAAGCACCGGCUAACUACGUG